rnacentral:misc_RNA from 1 species
AAAGAAGAAUCAAGAAUUUGAAGAAAUAUUUGGGAAAAACAGCAUCAGAAUGGUACCAGACAAAUCUGCUGAAAGAUGAAGAAUACAACUGGGAAAACUGGAAGGCGGCAUUUCUAAAAGCUUUUAGCAAUAAAGGUUGGUCUGCAGUGCGAUACGCCUAUAACUUUAAAUACAUUUCAGGUUCGUUCACCGAAUAUGCCAUAAAAAAAGAACGGUUAAUAUUGGAAGUAAGGAGGAAGACUUCCGAAGAGACAAGGAUAAAUCUAAUUGUUAUUGGAUUACCCAUACACAUUCAAGAUAAAAUCGAUAAAGAAGCGGUACAAUCAACAAAUAAUUUAAUCGGACUUUUGGGGCAAUAUGAAGAUCAGACGAAAAAAAGAAAAACGCAAGAGAGCCGAUUUCACCCAAUACAAGUAUGCAGAAACAGAAACGGAAAUGCUCAGAGGAACCAAAA